rnacentral:lncRNA from 1 species
ACAUAUCAUUUGGAAUUAAUGAAAACUUGUGGGUAACACAAAUUAAAUGCCUUAAGAAAUAUGGCUCUGGAUAGUUCACAUUUUAUAAUAAUAAAUUAUAGCAUAAUUUCAAUAUUAGAUAUAGAGUGGAUUACUUAGGCUCAGGCCCUGUUAAUAUAGAGCUGUCUCUCUUUUGUGUUUGUCUCAUUUCCUAAAAUAUUCGUAGCUCUCCCAUGAAGACACAACACAUCUCCACAUUCCAAGUAUGUAAGAGUCUAUCACCUAAUAGGAGCCAAAUGUAAUUUUGUUGAUCUGAAGUAAAAUAGUUCUUCUAGUUAUUAUUCAGUCUUGCAAUGCUUAUGCUUUAUGCUGUAGGAAUUAUCAAAACAUCUGAAUUAUUUCUUUUUUUAUAUUAUGAAAAUAGGAUAAUCAAUAACAUCUUUAGUAAUUUAUAAUUAGAGUUACUUGGUUUGGGGUGCACAUGUUACGAAGUCAAAAGCAUAGAAGUGUAUACAGAAAAAAGCAAACUUCUUUCUAACCUCUUCUCCAGCUGCAUCUGUCUCACCUCAUCCUCUCCAGGGAUUUCUGUUAUCAUCAGUUUCUUGCAUAUCUUCAGAGGUAUUCUACAGAAUCCAGGGGUUGAACUAUGUCUGAAUAUGACUUCAAUUAUGGGAGUUGAGAAGAGACUACAUCUUGGCUACAAGUAAUUAAUACUCUGUAUUUUGGGGAAAUGAAAAAUGAUGAGCAAGCUGAAGGGUAAUUUAUGUAUAAGAAGAAAGGUGAGGAACUAAUCCAUUAGCAUGUUAAUUAAGUAGAGUAAGAUUAAUAUUUCAUAUAAUCAUUUGUUUUAAUAAAUGUAUUUAAGCCCAUUCUAUACCUGUCACUGAGAGAUACUGUGCUUCAGGUCCUGAAAUGUUGUGGGACCCUUUAGUAUUUUCACUGGAUAUUUGUCCUGCAUAUAAAAUCCCACAUUUGUCAGAAGAAUGUGAAAAAAUAUUUCAGCAUAAUUGUUGAUGCCAUUUGUGCACUGCU